rnacentral:rRNA from 1 species
GCCCAGCGCUGAAUCUUUCGAUGUUACAUCGUAAAGAAAUGUAGCGUAUAGGUGUAGUUAUCGGUUUGUUUGGCGUAUCCAAAGUUCCUUUGAUAGGGGCCAUAUUCCAGAGAGGGUGCGAGACCUGUGCGGAUAGCGGAACAUGCCGUAUGAUUAUACCUUGGAGUCGGGUUGCUUGAAAGUGCAGCCUUAAGUGGGUGAUAAACUUCAUCUAAGGCUAAAUACGGACGCGAAUUCGAUAGCAAACAAGUACUGUGAAGGAAAGUUGCAAAGAACUUUGAAGAGAGAGUUCAAGAGAACGUGAAAUCGUUGAAGUGGAACCGGAGAGAGUUGACGUAGUAUGGUGGAUAAGUAUUGCAAGAAUCGCUUCAAAAAAUGUGAACGUGAUCGAGCAGUAUGUAUGUCACCAAUGACUGCGCUGACAGCAUCGACCACACGCUCUGAACCGUGUUGACAUGUUGCCUACUCUAGUAUAUAGAGUGGUGUCUUGUGUUACGUGGUGAAGUUUGUUGUUAUGUUGAUGUUGAUACGAGGAGCAUAAUUAUACGACGAGUAUUAAUUAUGUGUGUCAGUGUAAAAGUCGACCACCUCUCCAACCCGUCUUGAAACACGGACCGAGGAGUGUAACUUGUACGCGAGUCAAUGGGUGAAAAACCUUAAGGCGAAAUGAAAGUGAAGGCACGGUUAACCGGCUGACAUGGGAAACGUCCGGCGGCUUGUGUUGACGAGACGUUACACCAUGGCCCUGUCUUGUCUGCAUGCAGAUGGGCAGCGGUAGAGCGUACAGGUUGCGACCCGAAAGAUGGUGAACUAUGCCUGAGCAGGACGAAGCCAGAGGAAACUCUGGUGGAAGUCCGUAUCGGUUCUGACGUGCAAAUCGAUCGAUAGACUU